rnacentral:rRNA from 1 species
GACGAACGCUGGCGGCGUGCCUAAUACAUGCAAGUCGAACGCUUCUUUCCUCCCGAGUGCUUGCACUCAAUUGGAAAGAGGAGGUGCGGACGGGGGAGUAACACGUGGGUAACCUACCCAUCAGAGGGGGAUAACACUUGGAAACAGGUGCUAAUACCGCAUAACAGUUUAUGCCGCAUGGCAUAAGAGUGAAAGGCGCUUUCGGGUGUCGCUGAUGGAUGGACCCGCGGUGCAUUAGCUAGGUGGUGAGGUAACGGCUCACCAAGGCCACGAUGCAUAGCCGACCUGAGAGGGUGAUCGGCCACACUGGGACUGAGACACGGCCCAGACUCCUACGGGAGGCAGCAGUAGGGAAUCUUCGGCAAUGGACGAAAGUCUGACCGAGCAACGCCGCGUGAGUGAAGAAGGUUUUCGGAUCGUAAAACUCUGUUGUUAGAGAAGAACAAGGACGUUAGUAACUGAACGUCGCCUGACGGUAUCUAACCAGAAAGCCACGGCUAACUACGUG